rnacentral:rRNA from 1 species
UACGUAGGGGGCUAGCGUUGUCCGGAAUCAUUGGGCGUAAAGAGCGUGUAGGCGGCCUGAUAAGUCGGCUGUGAAAGUCAAGGGCUCAACCCUUGAAUGCCGGCCGAUACUGUCAGGCUAGAGUCCGGAAGAGGCGAGUGGAAUUCCCGGUGUAGCGGUGAAAUGCGCAGAUAUCAGGAGGAACACCUAUUGCGAAGGCAGCUCGCUGGGACGUAACUGACGCUGAGACGCGAAAGCGUGGGGAGCAAACAGG